CUCGGCAACGGAUAUCUCGGCUCUCGCAUCGAUGAAGAACGUAGCGAAAUGCGAUACUUGGUAUGAAUUGCAGAAUCCCGUGAACCAUCGAGUCUUUGAACGCAAGUUGCGCCCGAAGCCAUUAGGCUGAGGGCACGUCUGCCUGGGCGUCACGC
rnacentral:rRNA from 1 species